CCUACGGGAGGCAGCAGUGAGGAAUAUUGGUCAAUGGACGAGAGUCUGAACCAGCCAAGUAGCGUGAAGGAUGACUGCCCUAUGGGUUGUAAACUUCUUUUAUAAAGGAAUAAAACGAGGCACGUGUGCCUUUUUGCAUGUACUUUAUGAAUAAGGAUCGGCUAACUCCGUGCCAGCAGCCGCGGUAUACGGAGGAUCCGAGCGUUAUUCGGAUUUAAUGGGUUUAAAGGGAGCGUAGAUGGGUUGUUAAGUCAGUUGUGAAAGUUUGCGGCUCAACCGUAAAAUUGCAAUUGAUACUGGCAGUCUUGAGUACAGUUGAGGUAGGCGGAAUUCGUGGUGUAGCGGUGAAAUGCUUAGAUAUCACGAAGAACCCCGAUUGCGAAGGCAGCUUACUAAACUGUGACUGACAUUGAUGCUCGAAAGUGUGGGUAUCAAACAGGAUUAGAUACCCCAGUAGUC
rnacentral:rRNA from 1 species